rnacentral:rRNA from 1 species
CCUACGGGUGGCUGCAGUGGGGAAUAUUGGACAAUGGGCGAAAGCCUGAUCCAGCCAUGCCGCGUGUGUGAAGAAGGCCUUCGGGUUGUAAAGCACUUUCAGUGGGGAAGAAAGCCUUGGGGCUAAUACCCUCGAGGAAGGACAUCACCCACAGAAGAAGCACCGGCUAACUCCGUGCCAGCAGCCGCGGUAAUACGGAGGGUGCGGGCGUUAAUCGGAAUUACUGGGCGUAAAGCGCGCGUAGGCGGUCUGAUAAGCCGGUUGUGAAAGCCCCGGGCUCAACCUGGGAACGGCAUCCGGAACUGUCAGGCUAGAGUGCAGGAGAGGAAGGUAGAAUUCCCGGUGUAGCGGUGAAAUGCGUAGAGAUCGGGAGGAAUACCAGUGGCGAAGGCGGUCUUCUGGACUGACACUGACGCUGAGGUGCGAAAGCGUGGGUAGCAAACAGGAUUAGAUACCCCGGUAGUC